GGAGCUAGUGCUUGAAGUCUAGUGUGGUUAGAGGGUCAUGCUCUGAUAGGUGUAACAUCGGGACGGGAUGUUUGAAUUGUCGAAUAAGUGUUAAUUUUGAUGAAUUACAGAUGUUGAAAUAUUUUAUCCGCUGCGUAUUGUUAAAGAAGUUUUAUGUCGAAUAAAAUUGAGUAUGACUGCUUUUAUGUUGAAUUAUGUGAAGAA
rnacentral:lncRNA from 1 species